AGCGAACGCUGGCGGCAGGCCUAACACAUGCAAGUCGAACGAACUCUUCGGAGUUAGUGGCGGACGGGUGAGUAACACGUGGGAACGUGCCUUUUGGUUCGGAAUAACUCAGGGAAACUUGUGCUAAUACCGAAUGUGCCCUUCGGGGGAAAGAUUUAUCGCCAUUAGAGCGGCCCGCGUCUGAUUAGCUAGUUGGUGAGGUAACGGCUCACCAAGGCGACGAUCAGUAGCUGGUCUGAGAGGAUGACCAGCCACACUGGGACUGAGACACGGCCCAAACUCCUACGGGAGGCAGCAGUGGGGAAUCUUGCGCAAUGGGCGAAAGCCUGACGCAGCCAUGCCGCGUGAAUGAUGAAGGUCUUAGGAUUGUAAAAUUCUUUCACCGGGGACGAUAAUGACGGUACCCGGAGAAGAAGCCCCGGCUAACUUCGUG
rnacentral:rRNA from 1 species